AGUGAACGCUGGCGGUAGGCCUAACACAUGCAAGUCGAACGGCAGCACAGAGGAGCUUGCUCCUUGGGUGGCGAGUGGCGGACGGGUGAGGAAUACAUCGGAAUCUACUCUGUCGUGGGGGAUAACGUAGGGAAACUUACGCUAAUACCGCAUACGACCUACGGGUGAAAGCAGGGGACCUUCGGGCCUUGCGCGAUUGAAUGAGCCGAUGUCGGAUUAGCUAGUUGGCGGGGUAAAGGCCCACCAAGGCGACGAUCCGUAGCUGGUCUGAGAGGAUGAUCAGCCAAACUGGAACUGAGACACGGUCCAGACUCCUACGGGAGGCAGAAGUGGGGAAUAUUGGACCAUGGGCGCAAGCCUGAUCCAGCCAUACCGCGUGGGUGAAGAAGGCCUUCGGGUUGUAAAGCCCUUUUGUUGGGAAAGAAAUCCAGCUGGCUAAUAUCCGGUUGGGAUGACGGUACCCAAAGAAUAAGCACCGGCUAACUUCGUGCCAGCCGCCGCCGUAA
rnacentral:rRNA from 1 species